AGGCAGCAGUGGGGAAUAUUGCACAAUGGGCGCAAGCCUGAUGCAGCCAUGCCGCGUGUAUGAAGAAGGCCUUCGGGUUGUAAAGUACUUUCAGCGGGGAGGAAGGGAGUAAAGUUAAUACCUUUGCUCAUUGACGUUACCCGCAGAAGAAGCACCGGCUAACUCCGUGCCAGCAGCCGCGGUAAUACGGAGGGUGCAAGCGUUAAUCGGAAUUACUGGGCGUAAAGCGCACGCAGGCGGUUUGUUAAGUCAGAUGUGAAAUCCCCGGGCUCAACCUGGGAACUGCAUCUGAUACUGGCAAGCUUGAGUCUCGUAGAGGGGGGUAGAAUUCCAGGUGUAGCGGUGAAAUGC
rnacentral:rRNA from 1 species